rnacentral:tRNA from 1 species
GGGAGGGUAGCGAAGAGGCUAAACGCGGCAGACUGUAAAUCUGUUACCAUCGGUUUCGGCAGUUCGAAUCUGCCCCCUCCCACCA